AGUGAACGCUGGCGGUAGGCCUAACACAUGCAAGUCGAACGGCAGCACAGUAAGAGCUUGCUCUUACGGGUGGCGAGUGGCGGACGGGUGAGGAAUACAUCGGAAUCUACUUUUUCGUGGGGGAUAACGUAGGGAAACUUACGCUAAUACCGCAUACGACCUACGGGGGAAAGCAGGGGAUCUUCGGACCUUGCGCGAUUGAAUGAGCCGAUGUCGGAUUAGCUAGUUGGCGGGGUAAGGGCCCACCAAGGCGACGAUCCGUAGCUGGUCUGAGAGGAUGAUCAGCCACACUGGAACUGAGACACGGUCCAGACUCCUACGGGAGGCAGCAGUGGGGAAUAUUGGACAAUGGGCGCAAGCCUGAUCCAGCCAUACCGCGUGGGUGAAGAAGGCCUUCGGGUUGUAAAGCCCUUUUGUUGGGAAAGAAAAGCAGCAGGUUAAUACCCCGCUGUUCUGACGGUACCCAAAGAAUAAGCACCGGCUAACUUCGUG
rnacentral:rRNA from 1 species